GACGAACGCUGGCGGCGUGCUUAACACAUGCAAGUCGAACGGAAAGGCCCUGCUUUUGUGGGGUGCUCGAGUGGCGAACGGGUGAGUAACACGUGAGUAACCUGCCCUUGACUUUGGGAUAACUUCAGGAAACUGGGGCUAAUACCGGAUAGGAGCUCCUGCUGCAUGGUGGGGGUUGGAAAGUUUCGGCGGUUGGGGAUGGACUCGCGGCUUAUCAGCUUGUUGGUGGGGUAGUGGCUUACCAAGGCUUUGACGGGUAGCCGGCCUGAGAGGGUGACCGGCCAAAAUGGGACUGAGAUACGGGCCAGACUCCUACGGGAGGCAGGAGUGGGGAAUAUUGCACAAUGGGCGGAAGCCUGAUGCAGCAACGCCGGGGGCGGGAUGACGGCCUUCGGGUUGUAAACCGCUUUCGCCUGUGACGAAGCGUGAGUGACGGGAAUGGGUAAAGAAGCACCGGCUAACUACGUG
rnacentral:rRNA from 1 species